UGGGGUUCCUAUGCUACCCUUUUCCUGGGUCUCUUUGCAAAUAGCUCUGUGCCACACCUUCUCUCCAUAGAAAGCAGCCAAAUUCUCUUCUUGGACAACAUGGUUUCCAAGAAGGAGGAGUAUAAUUGUAAAGGAGAUGUAGAUAUGUUUGUGGGUAUAGAUGUGUGUGGUUCUAUCCUAUCCAGAAUAUAAGUUAUGAAUAUUUCGAAGAUAAAAUUUUAAACAAUGCCCAAGAACCAUUAAGGAUCUAACACAUAAUGUAGUUGAGUAAGUGUAUCUGGAGGUCCUAAGUCACUUCUCGGAGGCACCUGGUCUCCUCUUCCCUUUCCUGCAGCUUUUCUGAGCGAUCGAAACCUCCACUCCCUCCCUAGCCAACCCACAGUUCUCACUACCUUAGCUGAUACAUUAGGGAAUAAAUGGAGGCUCUCAUGUAAGUCUAAGCGUCCUCCCCAGGUGAAAGUGAUUCUGCCCUCCCUCCCUUGUCAAGUGAGCCUGCCUGGCCUAUUGGAACCGAACCUCCCCCUGCCCCUGUGAUUGGCGGAAGAUUGGCACGUGGUCUAAUGAAAACCAACCGGAGCUGAGAAUGACCUGAGUAAGAACCUCUUUUCCCACCUGGGCUGCUGAAGAAAGAAUUGAAGUUCAAUUUCUGUUAAUGAACUGAUAUUCCUGCUGGAGGACUGAUGAUGGCUUCCUGAGAUUCUGUUCGAGGCUGGCACUCCAGAGGACCUUCAGGGGAGCCUAUGCCAGGAAGGCAGAGAUACGAAGAAGCAACAGUCUCCCCUGGAACGGAAGAGGUUCCUGAAGUCCCUGUGAGGUGGACACACUGGGGGCAGAAACGCAGAACAACCUUUUAUCUGCAAUUGAAGUCAGCUCGCUCCCCAGCGUGCCCUCACCCGCGUCUAAGAUGACUCUGGCCCUCAGGGUUCACAUGUAACAUCGGUGAGGCAAAUAGGAAGGUGAUUCCGACUCUUGAGGGCACUCCUUUCUCAGCAAGACUGUUGUCUGCAGCUACAGGGCUCCUUCCUCUCUUCAUUUCGAGGCAGCUGCGCAUCCGGAAUGAGAAGAAGGGAUGCAGUCCAUGCUUCUCCUCGAGUGCCCACCGUCUGUCCCCACCUCCGCCCCACAGCCCAGGCCCUGGGGCCACUGUUCCUGUCCGUCCUGGGCACUUCUUCAGGGGAGCAUCUGCCUUGUGCGCUUCGUUGGGGAUUGGGGUCCUAUUCCACUCUCAGAACUCUCUGGACCUCCUUGUGCCAUAUAUAGGGGGAGUGGACAUAGGUUGAGGUGGGAACUCUUGAUCUUUCUGCCUGAACAGGGCUUGCCUGUCAUCCCUGAGGAUGCCCUACAAAUUGUGGAGCCCCCUAGGAAAGCCUCAUCCCAUGCAGAUGGGAACCCAGGCACCUCUCCUCUGCCUACAGGCUGCCUCUGGGUCCUCCACCCGCCCCCAGCCCAGGAAGGCUCCUUUCAGUCCAGGAAAUGCCCCAAGUCACUCACACUGGAUUCUGAAUCCUCCCAAUUCUCUAGCUUUUGCUUAGCAAAACAAACAAAAGUAAAAAUACUCCUUUUUCUCCUUGAGCCUGCCAAGCUUAUACACACACACACACACACACACACACACACACAUAACUUCUCUGGGUUUGCAAAUGAAAGCUUUGGUUUUAAUAACUAAUCUUUUUUUCUCUCUGAAAUGGGCUUUCUGAGCCAACUUUGGCAUCUGAACCUGAGGACUGAGUUCUUUAUUCUUCCCUGGACUCUGCUCCACCCCAAGCAAUGAAAGCCUCAGCAUCAGUGGGAGGGAAGUUGGCAGGAGAGGGUGUGAGAGUCACUGGGAAUGAAAAUAUAUUGGAUAAUAAUUCAAAUGAUGGCGCCAGAGCACUCCCUGGGCCCAUGAAGCCCUGCACUGGCCCCUGCAAACAUCCCUAUUUGAAUUCUUCCUCCUGUCACUCCCCUUUUUCCUCUUCCUUCCUCUCUUCCUCUGUUCUGAGUUCCCUGAGUUAUUAUAGCUCUGGCAGCGGGACCAAUGUGAUUGAGCACAAUAAAUAAAAUCCAAAGUAUUUCAUCUUUUCUGUCCAAAAUUCAAAGAAAUGACAAUUCUCAGAGAACCCAUAAUCUUUUUCAAAUUGUCAAUAGCAUCUAAAAGUUUCUCUCUCUUAAAAAAAAAAAAAUUUAAAGCUAAAGCAAAAGUAAAAAGCAAGCGAGUUUGCACUUCCUAUGAAAUAAUUUCUCUUACAUAUAUAUGGCUUUAGAUGUCAAGCUUGGGAGAAUAUUAUUGUGACUUUAAUGGAGCCUACUGAUGUUUAAAGCUAGUAUAUGGUAGAAAGAAAAGUGUGCAUGCAUAGAGAAUUAUUCUCUGGAACUCAGCAGAUAGGUAUGUUUAAUGAUACAGCCAGAGGGAAGCUACAUUUCAGCAUGCUGACUGCCAUUUCCAAAUGUACACAGGUCUGCCUGUAUUGAAACUCUCUCCACCAACAGCCAGGGAAAAGCACUGCAAAUCUGAGAAGCAAACUGUACAAAUUCAAGCAUUUGGCCAGAGCCCCAGAAGGCUCAGGGGAGAGACCUCAGAAACCAGGGCUGGGAAUGAUCAUCUAAAGAAAUCUGGCUUCUUCUGAAUAGUAUAUUCCAUUUGGAUUUUUUCCACUGACCAAGUUCGUAUGGCCAUAAUUAAGUUGCUAGAAGUUAGUGUUAGAUUUUAAUGUUGAGAUUACUUAUCUUGAUACAGCUUUUAAUUAUUCUCAUCCCAAAUGCUUUAUAUAUCCACCUGGCUCUUUUUUAAACUUAAUUUUGAUGGUGGUUGGCAUUGUUAUUGUUUUCAUUAGAAGCAUAACCUCUGUUAGGCUACAUACUGUUCCUUGUAUGUAGUUCAUAGAUAUUCUUUCACAGAAUAUAGUGGUCUGAGGCUCUGGGGUGCAGGUCAAGUUCUGGUUCUUCAUUUGGAUGGUGAUAACACGGUUACAUUUUGUGAAAUUUUUAAUUUGUCAUUUUUCUGUUUGAAUGUAUUAUUUCACUCAAAUAGCUUUGGAAAUUCGGAGAAAUAGAGGCGUAUCUAUAAAAUCUCUUUUAUGUGAUUUGUACAUUAGAGCCCAUUUUAUUAUUAAUUUUGAACGUAGGAAUGUCUCAGGGCAAUUGGUAAAGGUGCCUGUAAGUGAAAGUGUUAGUCUCUGUCGUGUCCGACUCUUUGCGACUCCAUGGACUGUCACCCGCCAGACUUCGCCAUCCAUGGGAUUUUCCAGGCAAGGAUACUGGAGUGGGCUGCCAUUUCCUUCUCCAGGGGAUCUUUCCAACCCAGGGGUUGAACCCUGGUCUCUUGCUUUGCAGGCAGAUUCUUUACAAUCUGAUCCACCAGGGCCUGGGUGUAUAAAAUUUGUGAGAUAUAAAUAAUUUAAAAAUAUUAUAACUCAUCCCCUUCAUUUUGCCAGUAAAUAGAAGGGAAACCAGAGAGUCAAGAAACUUAACCAAGAAAUCCUGACCCAUAAGUGGAAGAGACAGAAUCCAGAGCCAUAUUUCCAAUUAUGCCAUUUGCAUAGUAACAUAUGGACUCUGUACUAGAUAAUACGAGUCUAUCCUUUAUUGAAUACUAAACAUUAUAUAUACAACAUCUCAUUUAAUCCAUAAAACCCUCUUGUUUGGAAAUGGAAUUUUUAUUCCCAUUUUUCAGAUCAAGAUUCUGAGGCUUCUUUAGAUAAAUGACUUAGCCAAGGUCACACAGUGAGUGUUGAAUUUGAAUUUGUCUAUUAGUAUCUCUCUCUUUUUUUGUGUGUACAUUAUUAGCAUCAGCAUGCUAUUUACUUAAACGAGGCUUUUACCAACCACAGUAUGUCUAAUUAUGACAUGAAGCCGGUGAGCACAGGGGCUGCUAGAAAGGAUUCAGUCAGUGAACAAAGACCUCUUCAGCCAUUGAAUGGAAAUGAAAAAUGUCUGUAGUGAAGUAAAAAUAAACUCGGCUUGGCUGCCCACCCUACUAACAUGUCCUGUAACCACAUCAGUUUAGGGAAGCCAAUUGUUGGCCUCAAGGAUGCCAGCCACAGACUUGUACAAAAGCCAGGCACCUUCACUCCAGAAUUAGGAGAUGAGUCUAGCCCAGAGCUCUGUGAAACAAGUACUUUCUGGAUGGCUCUGUCAUUGCUCAGAUGAUGGUGUGUCCGCUAAAUGCUAUCAUUAACUGAGCUAUGAUUGCUGGAAGUAAUUUUCUUUCAGCAUCAGGGACCACAGAGAACUUGUUCUGUGCCUGUUAUGAGUCAACGUUGGAGAGAAAUUCAUUUGCUCAAAGAAAGUUAUUAAAAAGCUCUAAUUCAAUAUUUGUGUGAGAAAUCAUAAAAUUGAUAAAUUACAGGUGAGCAAGAUCAGUGAGCUCUUUUGUUUCUUCCUUCGGGGACCCACUGCAAAUUUCCUGUGUUUACUGUGCUACAGCUUCUUAGAUGAAUGAUUUGUCUAUUUGAGCGUGGGAUUAAAGACACAUGUUCUUGGCAGAAAAGCCAAAUGCAGCUGAAAGAUCUACUCUGCUAGAAUAUCACCAUUCGUAGUGCCAUAAAAACCAUCAGUGAGGGUAUUUUAUCCAAAAGUGACCACAGCCCUAUUUAGUAUAGGAAAGGCUUGAUUUGUCAACAAUAUAUAGAUUAUUCUAGGAGCUACUGACUCUAGAUGUUACCAUACCCCUAACUGGUCCCAUCACUCAGAGUUUAACAGUUUAUCAGAGGGCCGAAAAUAAGUGCACACAUCAUUUUAUCUUUUCUUGAUUUUCACAUUGAAAUGCACCAUAAUUUUUCUCAUGUUCCUUUGAAAGUCCUUCUAUGGUGUUUUUAUUGGGGGAGGCAUGGUCUUUUGUUUGUUUUUUUCCUGCUUUUCAGCCCCUUAAAGGAAUUGUCCAGUGUGCAAACUUUCUUUCCUUUCAGGUAUAUACUUUCUCCUUCCAUGAUCUCAUCCACUCUUCUCAUCCAGUGCUUUUCAAACUUUAGUGCAUAUAAAAUCAUCUGCAGAGUUUGCUAAAACACAUCUCAGAGAUUCUGACUCAGUGGAUCUGAGGUACAGCUUAAGAAAGUGCAUUUCUUGGGGAGGGGGGAGAUGAAUUAUGAAUUUGGGGUUAACAUAUUUACACCAGUAUA